CUAGCGUUGUUCGGAUUUACUGGGCGUAAAGCGCACGUAGGCGGCUCGUUAAGUCGGGGGUGAAAUCCUGGAGCUCAACUCCAGAACUGCCUUCGAUACUGGCGAUCUAGAGUCCGGAAGAGGUGAGUGGAACUCCUAGUGUAGAGGUGGAAUUCGUAGAUAUUAGGAAGAACACCAGUGGCGAAGGCGGCUCACUGGUCCGGUACUGACGCUGAGGUGCGAAAGCGUGGGGAGCAAACAGG
rnacentral:rRNA from 1 species